rnacentral:rRNA from 1 species
GCGGACGGGUGAGUAACGCGUGGGAACGUGCCUUCUGGUUCGGAAUAACUCAGGGAAACUUGAGCUAAUACCGGAUACGCCCUUUUGGGGAAAGGUUUACUGCCGGAAGAUCGGCCCGCGUCUGAUUAGCUAGUUGGUGGGGUAACGGCCUACCAAGGCGACGAUCAGUAGCUGGUCUGAGAGGAUGAUCAGCCACACUGGGACUGAGACACGGCCCAGACUCCUACGGGAGGCAGCAGUGGGGAAUAUUGGACAAUGGGCGCAAGCCUGAUCCAGCCAUGCCGCGUGAGUGAUGAAGGCCUUAGGGUUGUAAAGCUCUUUUAUCCGGGACGAUAAUGACGGUACCGGAGGAAUAAGCCCCGGCUAACUUCGUGCCAGCAGCCGCGGUAAUACGAAGGGGGCUAGCGUUGCUCGGAAUCACUGGGCGUAAAGGGCGCGUAGGCGGUCUUUUAAGUCGGGGGUGAAAGCCUGUGGCUCAACCACAGAAUUGCCUUCGAUACUGGGAGACUUGAGUUCGGAAGAGGUUGGUGGAACUGCGAGUGUAGAGGUGAAAUUCGUAGAUAUUCGCAAGAACACCGGUGGCGAAGGCGGCCAACUGGUCCGACACUGACGCUGAGGCGCGAAAGCGUGGGGAGC